CAGCAAAAACUCUGAAAGUCUGGCAGUACUUCUGUAGCAGUCAAAGACAGCAUUGUUGCUUCAAUUAAAAAAGCACAGACCCCAGUGGCCUUUACCAAUGACUUCUCUGUCCUGUUCUUGGGGUACCCAUGAAAUGGCACUAUAAAUCAAAAGGUGACUGCACUUUGUUAUUGCUACAGAACCUACCAGGCAAAAUUUUCAGUGAAAGACUUCAUGUAAGCAUUGCUGUUCUUUAUCCGUGAAGCUACAACAGUAACUUUGCUGGGAAGUGGUUUGUCAGCUAGAGCUGGUCAGGCUGCAAGAGCUGGGAAAUGCUUUGUAGUUCAAAGGGGUUAUGUGUCUGCCAGAUUUCACACAACUCAUUAAAAAGGAACUUUAAAUACUGCAAACAAAUCCACCCUCAACUCAAACAUGGAAGGCAAUAUGGGAAAGCAUAGUGGUUCUACUUGCAUAUGAAUCUCUCCCUUUUGCACAGAACAAGACUUCAACCACUUCAAGCAAGAGAAACCUGCAUGGCUAUACCAGAUUCCUUCCACAUCACCUGCCUGCCACUGUACUUGUUUACCUCUCCCCUCCCUUCACACUUUCCCCCCUAUCCCCUUGUAUACUCCCUCCUCAUUCCUCUUCCCUCAGCCUGUCCUUUGCAAUGCCCUGUGUUUUGUGAUAAUGUCAAAUAUGCCUCUGUCCAGAGCCCAGCUAGGCCACACUGGCUAAUGUUGCUGCAGAAGAGUAUGUAGCUGAAGUCUUUGUGUCAUGCAGAAAAAUAUUUCCAUCCAUCCUGCCAAUCCAUUUCUUUCAAGGAAAUAAUUUCAUACCACACUUACUUAUUUUAAGACCUUCCUCUCUACAGCCAGUAAAAGGAUAGACCAUUUUAAAAAACAGCAAGGUUUAGUUGCCCGUGUUCAUAAUCCCAUCCAUACCUUUCUCAUAGUAUUUUUAACCUUGAUGUUAAAAAGCUGAAAUGAACCUUAAUCAGAACAUCUGUUUUGUUUUCUAAUACAUUUAAGAGGUUUUUUAAAGGAGAAAAUGAGCAAUUCAGAAAAAAAAUUUCCUAAAUCCUAGUUUCCUUUUUUUAAUAACUGUAACUUCAAUUCUCUACUCCCAAAACCGCAGAGGUAUUAUUGAGAUUUUGUAACAGAGUACUGCUUUAGACUUCAAACCUCAGCAAAAAAGACAGCAAGCCAAAAUGUGAGCUUGUAUGUGCCAGGAAAAGAAGCAAAGCAAAGUAAACCAACAAAAACAACAACAACAACAACAAAAAAUAACUACCUGUAUUGCACUGCUAGAGAACUGAAGGAGAAACCUCCUCUUAUGCUGAUAUGAGGAAUAAACUUGAAGGCUGGAUGCAGUUGUUUAUGAAAAGGCUCAAACAAGAACUGUAGGACCCAGGGUAGGACCUUUGCAGUUGUGAAAUUAUGACAUUGCUAGUAAAACUCAACCUUGGUUGAGGUGUAUGGGGGGAAGAAAAAGCACUUUUCCUUUCCACUGGAGCAAUAUGUGGGUCUAGUUAUGACUAGGUCACUUAGUAAUAAUUAAUUUUCUGUGGGCUGUACAGAAAUAGCAAGUGGCUACUCUGAAGGUCAGGGAGGGAAGAAGAGUUUGUGGGAAAACUAUGAAAAUUUCCAAGAUAUUUGGGAUAUAAGGGUAAGAAGAUAUGGUCCUAAACUGUGACUUCAGAGUCUGCAGUGAAUGGUGUUAGGUUGAAUACCCUCAGGGUACAGCCUUUAUUGUUUUAGGCAGAACAAUAGGUAAUAGAAAUGGAAAACUUUACUUAGAAAAGAUGGCUUUCCUGCCAUGAUAUAUGGAGGUGGGGGAUAAACCAUAUUAUGUUGUGUCAUAAUAUGUCUCAAAAAUGUGCCUGAAAUACUGAAAAGCAUUGAGAAUUCAGUGUGAUUACAGAAAACAAAAAGUAAUAUUAAAGUUUCUGAAAGAGUCUCUUUUCCUCUCUUCCUUGUUAGAUUCAGUCCUAGACAAGAUAAGACUUUGCAAAUGAAACCUGUUUUGAAAGUAAAGUCAUGGGUAUGUCUAAUCUUCCAGGUAUUUUUUUACCUGACUUUAUACAUGUGUUUAGUUGAUGCCACCAUUUUUUAACCUAAAUUGUAUUUUGAAUUACUGAUGAUGUAAUUUCACGGCGUAGGUAUUCUUUUUUGCAGCUCAAACCAUCAGAGCCCAGUGGGGGUUUAUUCAUAUACUUGAGGUUUAUCCCUCAGUCAUAAACCUUGUUAUAAACCUUCUAGCUAGGAAGAUAGAUAGACCUGGGAGAAUGAGACAGCCCCUCCCACACCAAGGGGCUGCAUGGAAUCCAGUAGAGGGCUUUCCAUUUCACUGUCUAGUGGCUGAUUUCACUUACUCCUCAUCCAAAAGUCCCUGAGCUUUUAUAAGCAAGCACAUUUCUUGUCAAAAAUGUUGCAUUUCUCUUGUGUUAA